rnacentral:rRNA from 1 species
AAUAGAUACCCGGGUAGUCCACGCCGUAAACGAUGGAUACUAGCUGUCCGGCGCAAGCUGGGUGGCUAAGCGAAAGUGAUAAGUAUCCCACCUGGGGAGUACGUUCGCAAGAAUGAAACUCAAAGGAAUUGACGGGGGCCCGCACAAGCGGUGGAGCAUGUGGUUUAAUUCGAUGAUACGCGAGGAACCUUACCAGGGCUUAAAUGUAGUGGGACAGGCUUAGAGAUAGGCCCUUCUUCGGACUCAUUACAAGGUGCUGCAUGGUUGUCGUCAGCUCGUGCCGUGAGGUGUCAGGUUAAGUCCUAUAACGAGCGCAACCCCUGUCGUUAGUUGCCAGCGAGUGAAGUCGGGAACUCUAACGAGACUGCCGGUGCAAACCGUGAGGAAGGUGGGGAUGACGUCAAAUCAUCACGGCCCUUACGUCCUGGGCUACACACGUGCUACAAUGGCCGGUACAGAGAGCAGCCACUGCGCGAGCAGGAGCGAAUCUACAAAACCGGUCACAGUUCGGAUCGGGGUCUGCAACUCGACCCCGU